UACGUAGGGUGCGAGCGUUGCCCGGAUUUAUUGGGCGUAAAGGGCGCGUAGGCGGCUCGGCACGUCCGUUGUGAAAUCGCCCGGCUCAACUGGGCGGGGUCAGCGGAUACGGUCGAGCUUGAGCAAGCUAGGGGGCAAUGGAAUUCCCGGUGUAGUGGUGGAAUGCGUAGAUAUCGGGAGGAACACCAGUGGCGAAGGCAGCCCCCUGGGCUAACACUGACGCUCAUGCACGAAAGCGUGGGGAGCAAACAGG
rnacentral:rRNA from 1 species